UAUAAAUUAUAAGGGUAUCCUUCUGUGUUU
rnacentral:tRNA from 1 species